rnacentral:rRNA from 1 species
GACCGCCUGGGGAGUACGGCCGCAAGGUUAAAACUCAAAUGAAUUGACGGGGGCCCGCACAAGCGGUGGAGCAUGUGGUUUAAUUCGAUGCAACGCGAAGAACCUUACCUGGUCUUGACAUCCACAGAACUUUCCAGAGAUGGAUUGGUGCCUUCGGGAACUGUGAGACAGGUGCUGCAUGGCUGUCGUCAGCUCGUGUUGUGAAAUGUUGGGUUAAGUCCCGCAACGAGCGCAACCCUUAUCCUUUGUUGCCAGCGGUCCGGCCGGGAACUCAAAGGAGACUGCCAGUGAUAAACUGGAGGAAGGUGGGGAUGACGUCAAGUCAUCAUGGCCCUUACGACCAGGGCUACACACGUGCUACAAUGGCAUAUACAAAGAGAAGCGACCUCGCGAGAGCAAGCGGACCUCAUAAAGUAUGUCGUAGUCCGGAUUGGAGUCUGCAACUCGACUCCAUGAAGUCGGAAUCGCUAGUAAUCGUAGAUCAGAAUGCUACGGUGAAUACGUUCCCGGGCCUUGUACACACCGCCCGUCACACCAUGGGAGUGGGUUGCAAAAGAAGUAGGUAGCUUAACCUUCGGGAGGGCGCUUACCACUUUGUGAUUCAUGACUGGGGUGAAGUCGUAACAAGGUAACCGUAGGGGAACCUGCGGUUGGAUCACCUCCUUACCUUAAAGAA